UGACGAAUUCCGGGUCGUGUAGGUUAUCCUGAGUAAAACUGUGAGAGUCGGCUUCGCUGAAGAUCUGCCGGAAGUCAGAUGCCACUUCUGUGAAGUUCUGGAAACACAAAAGAAAGGAUUGCCAUCAAGAGCGACGCUGCAAACAUCCUGGAUGUCGACCGUUCCAUUGUCCACAUUGUGAUCCAAAUUACUGAUUCAUCUCAUAGAAAUGCCGGCUGAGCUCCUUCACCCUGCGAGGAGACGGCAUAGUAUUCAGAAAGGCGCCAACUCGGAAGAUGGAGCUCGCUCAAGUGACGGACAACAUACGUACAUUGUUUGGUAGGUGGAG